AGAGUUUGAUCCUGGCUCAGGAUGAACGCUGGCGGCGUGCUUAACACAUGCAAGUCGAACGAUGACUUUUGUGCUUGCACAAAAUGAUUAGUGGCGAACGGGUGAGUAACACGUGAGUAACCUGCCCUUAACUUCGGGAUAAGCCUGGGAAACCGGGUCUAAUACCGGAUACGACGGAUUCCCGCAUGGGGGUCCGUGGAAAGCUUGAUGCGGUUUUGGAUGGACUCGCGUGUGAGGUGGAGCCUAUAAUGGCCCACCAAGGCGACGACGGGUAGCCGGCCUGAGAGGGUGACCGGCCACACUGGGACUGAGACACGGCCCAGACUCCUACGGGAGGCAGCAGUGGGGAAUAUUGCACAAUGGGCGAAAGCCUGAUGCAGCGACGCCGCGUGAGGGACGAAGGCCUUCGGGUUGUAAACCUCUUUCAGCAGGGAAGAAGCGAAAGUGACGGUACCUGCAGAAGAAGCGCCGGCUAACUACGUGCCAGCAGCCGCGGUAAUACGUAGGGCGCAAGCGUUAUCCGGAAUUAUUGGGCGUAAAGAGCUCGUAGGCGGUUUGUCGCGUCUGCUGUGAAAGCCCGGGGCUCAACCAGCUAGUUGGUUGGGGUCCCGGGUCUGCAGUGGGUACGGGCAGACUAGAGUGCAGUAGGGGAGACUGGAAUUCCUGGUGUAGCGGUGAAAUGCGCAGAUAUCAGGAGGAACACCGAUGGCGAAGGCAGGUCUCUGGGCUGUAACUGACGCUGAGGAGCGAAAGCAUGGGGAGCGAACAGGAUUAGAUACCCUGGUAGUCCAUGCCGUAAACGUUGGGCACUAGGUGUGGGGGACAUUCCACGUUUUCCGCGCCGUAGCUAACGCAUUAAGUGCCCCGCCUGGGGAGUACGGCCGCAAGGCUGCUAAUCCCCAGUUCAAAACUCAAAGGAAUUGAAAAAAGCCGGUCUCGGGGGCCCGCACAAGCGGCGGAGCAUGCGGAUUAAUUCGAUGCAACGCGAAGAACCUUACCAAGGCUUGACAUGAACCGGAAAGGCCUGGAAACAGGUCCCCCACUUGUGGCCGGUUUACAGGUGGUGCAUGGUUGUCGUCAGCUCGUGUCGUGAGAUGUUGGGUUAAGUCCCGCAACGAGCGCAACCCUCGUUCUAUGUUGCCAGCGGGUUAUGCCGGGGACUCAUAGGAGACUGCCGGGGUCAACUCGGAGGAAGGUGGGGACGACGUCAAAUCAUCAUGCCCCUUAUGUCUUGGGCUUCACGCAUGCUACAAUGGCCGGUACAAAGGGUUGCGAUAC
rnacentral:rRNA from 1 species